UCCCCUUAAUUGUCCGGACCGACAUCGGUCACCGGAACAGUGAAAUAUAUCUAGCUAUACAAAUAGGGGUGUUACAAAAUGAUCCUCGUGUAUGAAUACAUGAUCAAGGGGACUCUCCAAAAACAUUUGUAUGAAACUAACAAUGAUCCAUUUCCAUGGAAGCAAAGGCUUGAUAUUUGCAUUGGUGCUGCUCGUGGAUUGCAUUACCUCUAUGCUAGUGCCACUCAUAUUACUGCUGUAGGAGGGGGGCGUGAGGCAAAAUAUCAUCCACUAGAAUUAUAUAAAAUGACCAGAUAAUGCGCAGGAAAGAUAAUAGAGUCACAAUGGUCUCACCUAAGUAUCACCUCCUUAGACAGCAUUUCCUA
rnacentral:misc_RNA from 1 species